rnacentral:rRNA from 1 species
UACGUAGGAGGCAAGCGUUGUCCGGAAUUACUGGGCGUAAAGCGCGUGUAGGUGGUGGGACAAGUCUGCUGUGAAAGCGCCUGGCUUAACCGGGCGAGGUCGGCGGAAACUGUCGCACUCGAGGACGGUAGAGGGGGGUGGAAUUCCAGGUGUAGUGGUGAAAUGCGUAGAGAUCGGGAGGAACACCUGUGGCGAAGGCGGCCCCCUGGGCCGGCCCUGACACUGAGACGCGAAGGCGUGGGGAGCGAACAGG